CAAUAGCAUAUAUUAACGUUGUUGCAGUUGAAAAGCUCGUAGUUGAACUUUUGGUAGGAGCGACCUGGCCUUGGGCGCAUGCCCUUGUUUGCCGUGUGUCGUGUCUGGCCAUCCUUUUCCGCUUCGGCGGGAAUCCUUUACUGUGAGUAAACUGGAGUGCUCAAAACAAGACGUUUGUUUGGUACAUUAAAGCAUGGAAUAAUAAGAUAGGACCUGGUUACUAUUUUGUUGGUUUGCAUAGCUAGGUAAUGAUUAACAGGGACAGUUGGGGGUAUUCGUAUUUAAUUGUCAGAGGUGAAAUUCUUGGAUUUAUGAAAGACGAACGACUGCGAAAGCAUUUACCAAGGAUGUUUUCAUUAA
rnacentral:rRNA from 1 species